rnacentral:rRNA from 1 species
GGAUCAGAUUGUCGGUCGUGCCUCGGUACGUACUGGCAUUAUUGGUUCCUACCUUCUGAAGAGCCGCGAUGUCAUUAAUUUGGUGUUGCGGGGAAUUUGGACAGUUACUUUGAAAAAAUUAGAGUGUUUAAAGCAAGCUAACGCUUGAAUACAUUAGCAUGGAAUGAUGAAAUAGGACGUUCGAUCCUAUUUUGUUGGUUUCUAGGAUUGACGUA